UACGGGGGGAGCAAGCGUUGUUCGGAUUUACUGGGCGUAAAGGGCGCGUAGGCGGUCAGCACAAGUCAGUUGUGAAAUCUCCGGGCUCAACUCGGAAAGGUCAACUGAUACUGUGCGACUAGAGUGCGGAAGGGGCAACUGGAAUUCUCGGUGUAGCGGUGAAAUGCGUAGAUAUCGAGAGGAACACCUGCGGCGAAGGCGGGUUGCUGGGCCGACACUGACGCUGAUGCGCGAAAGCCAGGGGAGCGAACGGG
rnacentral:rRNA from 1 species